rnacentral:rRNA from 1 species
GACGAACGCUGGCGGCGUGCCUAAUACAUGCAAGUAGAACGCUGAAGAGAGGAGCUUGCUCUUCUUGGAUGAGUUGCGAACGGGUGAGUAACGCGUAGGUAACCUGCCUGGUAGCGGGGGAUAACUAUUGGAAACGAUAGCUAAUACCGCAUAAAAUUGCUUAUCGCAUGAUAAUUAAUUGAAAGAUGCAAUUGCAUCACUACCAGAUGGACCUGCGUUGUAUUAGCUAGUUGGUGAGGUAACGGCUCACCAAGGCGACGAUACAUAGCCGACCUGAGAGGGGGAUCGGCCACACUGGGACUGAGACACGGCACAGACUCCGACGGGAGGCAGCAGUAGGGAAUCUUCGGCAAUGGGGGGAACCCUGCCCGAGCAACGCCGCGUGAGUGAAGAAGGUUUUCGGAUCGUAAAGCUCUGUUGUAAGAGAAGAACGGGUGUGAGAGUGGAAAGUUCACACUGUGACGGUAUCUUACCAGAAAGGGACGGCUAACUACGUGCCAGCCGCCGCCGUAA